rnacentral:rRNA from 1 species
AGUCCUACGGGAGGCAGCAGUGAGGAAUAUUGGUCAAUGGGCGGGAUCCUGAACCAGCCAAGCCGCGCGAGGGACGACGGUCCUAUGGAUUGUAAACCUCUUUUGUCGGGGAACAAAGGCGCCCACGGGUGGGCGGAUGAGUGUACCCGAAGAAAAAGCAUCGGCUAACUCCGUGCCAGCAGCCGCGGUAAUACGGAGGAUGCGAGCGUUAUCCGGAUUUAUUGGGUUUAAAGGGUGCGUAGGCGGACGGUCAAGUCAGCGGUAAAAAUGCGGGGCUCAACGCCGUACAGCCGUUGAAACUGGAA